CCCAUCGUGGGUGGCAGCGUGGGGUGGUCACUUUCAUUUUCCUUUGCCUUUGUCCUCCUUUAAGGCGACCCCCUCCCCCAUUGCCCUUCAACCCGCUACAAUGGUUUACCCUUUUCCUUCUAAAAGGAGCGCACUCAGUUGUGCAAGAAGCUACACUGAAAUGAUGUGGGAUAGAGGAACAUUUCCUGGGGACAACUUUGGGCUUGGACAGUCAUCAGGGAUAACAGACUUCUCCCUGGAAGGACAGACAGGACAGAGCCCCAACCUCGGUGACUGGCAGCCAGCAGAGCAAGCAUGUUUGCUUCUGAUCGGCGACACCGACUGAGAGAGCCUACCCGUAGUGCCCCGCUUCUCUGCCUCCUCACUUUCCCUCUGGAAAGGCCAGUGGCCUCUGCCUAGAUCAGAAGAGAUCUGCGCUCAUUCCCCCACUGUAAGUAGUGACUUGGUGAAUAAAAACCAGGGUUCAUGGUUUAACUGA